rnacentral:rRNA from 1 species
UACGUAGGGGGCUAGCGUUGUCCGGAAUCAUUGGGCGUAAAGCGCGUGUAGGCGGUUCGGUAAGUCCGCUGUGAAAGUCGGGGGCUCAACCCUCGAAUGCCGGUGGAUACUGUCGGACUAGAGUACGGAAGAGGCGAGUGGAAUUCCCGGUGUAGCGGUGAAAUGCGCAGAUAUCGGGAGGAACACCAAUUGCGAAGGCAGCUCGCUGGGACGUUACUGACGCUGAGACGCGAAAGCGUGGGGAGCAAACAGG